rnacentral:rRNA from 1 species
GGCUUAACCUGGGAAGUGCAUCGCAAACGACAUUGCUGGAGUAUAAGAGAGGGUGGCGGAAUUUCCGGUGUAGCGGUGAAAUGCGUAGAGAUCGGAAGGAACGUCAAUGGCGAAGGCAGCCACCUGGCUUAAUACUGACGCUGAGGCGCGAAAGCGUGGGGAUCAAACAGGAUUAGAUACCCUGGUAGUCCACGCUGUAAACGAUGAGGACUAGAUGUUGUUUGGGGAACCAAGCAGUAUCGAAGUUAACGCGAUAAGUCUUCCGCCUGGGAAGUACAGCCGCAAGGCUGAAACUCAAAGGAAUUGACGGGGGCCCGCACAAGCGGUGGAGCAUGUGGUUUAAUUCGAUGCAACGCGAAGAACCUUACC